rnacentral:rRNA from 1 species
GACAGAGGGUGCAAACGUUGUUCGGAAUUACUGGGCGUAAAGCGCGUGUAGGCGGCUUCGCAAGUCGGGUGUGAAAGCCCUGGGCUCAACCCAGGAAGUGCAUUCGAUACUGCGGAGCUGGAGUCCCGGAGAGGAUGGCGGAAUUCUCGGUGUAGAGGUGAAAUUCGUAGAUAUCAGGAAGAACACCCGUGGCUAAGGCGGCUCUCUAGUACGGUACUGACGCUGAGACGCGAAAGCGUGGGGAGCGAACAGG